rnacentral:rRNA from 1 species
AUGAUGUUGGCGAUGGGCCUGGCGUUGUUGAUGCAGUCUCCUUGUCCUACGUCGUCGUCUGCCGUCUUUAUUGCAUCUGGUACAAGAAAGAGUGCCGCUUCGUCUGCAGCCACCACCGCCGGAUGCGUCGUCCGCCGCCUCGAUAGCACCUGGUACGAGAAGAGCGCCUCUUCGUCUGCGGCCACCUCCGUUGGGCGUGUCGUUCGCCUCCUCAACUCUGAGAAGAGUGCUGCAUCGUCCUUGGCCACUUCUGCUAGGUGCGUCGUGCGGAGGUCAUUCUGCAAAAUAGAUGAUAAUACAUAG